AAAGGAUUAGCUUAAAAAGAGCACCUUCUUUACAAGGAGGGGGUUGAACCUUUA
rnacentral:tRNA from 1 species